AGUAGGUGCCUGUCCUUUCCAGGGAAAGUGCUUAGAAGCCGAAUUCAGGGGGAAGGAAUCAUUUGGAAGGCAGCCCUUGCUCCAGGCCCUUCCUAAAGAGUCUCAGUCAAGAAACACAGCUUGUGUUAGAUCAAGGAUCAUGGAAACAUCCUCAAACAACCAGUCUUCUGCAAAAGGACUUCAGGAGAUCUUCUAAGGAGACAGAGAACACUAAAAUACAUGAAGCGUUCAUGCCUUCCUUGGAAAGCAGAGGUUGGUUGGAUAAGCAAAUCUGAGGCUGAGAGUGGAAGACUGGAUCUUGGGUGGUGCUAGUUCUCACUCUUGAAAGCUUUGUAAUUAUUAAGGGUGAAGUGCCAUUUAAAGGAAAAGAAAGGCAAAGAAAUGAACUACAGGAAGCCAUGGAGGGUGUCUGCAUCAGUCCCUCAUGUUGCUGAGCCAGAAGUAGUAGAAGUCUUGAUUUACACCCAAAUUUACAUCGUAUUUAAAUCUCCUGGCAACCCUCCGGCCCCUGCACACCAAUACAUGCUAGGCCCCCCGCAACCCGGAGCUGACCGCCCAGCCUUGGCUGAACAACAUCACGUGUGCUCUCUCACCGCCAGCAGCCCUCUGACCACCACCUCACACCUAUUACCCAUGGCACGUAGGAUGUGGUGGUCUGGACGUUGGAGUCUCUGCCAGUAUGUGCUUCUCUCCCGUCAAAGACCCUGUCUUACGUCCUUGAAACUCCCAUCCCACCACACUCUCGAGUCUUUUCAUUCCUAGUUGGCACUUAGAAGAACUUAGAUGAUCUAAAUAGAUCUCCCCCAACUUUAACAAGCAGGAGUAGAAUGAAAAUCACAGAACACCAUGCUUCAGGUUCCAAUAUAUAUUUCCAAAGACUGAAACUUAGGAAAGACAGGAAAAGAUAAAUGGUUUUUCCUGGAAAAAUUAGAAAUUGGAGAUGACACUUUUCCAGAAAUCAGAAUACACCAGGGAUUAUGAAAUAAAAUGGAGGCAGAGGCGGGUGGACCAACUUUCAGGGAAUUUAGUCAUGGAAGUUCAGCAAGAAAGGUUAUUCUAAAGUUUUAACCUUGAACCUAAAUUUUUUAAUGAAUUAUCUCACGUAGUAAGAUGGUCUAGCCCAGUUAAUGAUAAAUGUAUCAAAGGAUAAAUUGCAAUAUGCAACACUGUUUUUUCCAGACUGGGUGAGAGUUCUAGUAACAGCAGUCUGGUCUCCAGAAGUCUCUGUCUGUUGUUCUUUUCCCAUCCAUCCCUCCUUUUCUCCCCCCUUCCCUUCCCUCACAGUUUUUCUCUUCCUUCUUUGUCUUCUUUUCCACAGCUCCCACCCUGGAUGAGGCAAAAUCUCAACUCAGUGCACCCACCCAUCCUUGCCACUGCAGCCAGACCCACAUGGUCCCCUCAGCAGGGCAGGGGUUCCAGAAGCCUCAGCCAGGAGUCCCCUUCUCUUCUCCCCUCCCUCUGGCUUUAACACCCGGCUCUUUUGUAUUGUGGCCAAUGCACUGGGCUUCAUGAUCCUCCAGAACAAAAGUGUUCACAUCAUCCACUGUCCUCUCUAGCCUCAGAAUCGUGGUGUGAACUUGGGCCUGGAAACACACCCUGUGGUUUCCAGGGUGCAGGGUCCCUCCCUCUCCCCGUCAGUACCCACAUUGAUCUACCAAGGAUCAACCGAAACAGAGCAAUGACAAGUCCUGGGACUCCAGCCUUUAGGAAAGGGGUUGAGGAUCCACAAGCCUGAACUCAGGAUGGGAAGAAAACUUCUUCAGUAUUUAGAUAUGCUUUCCUUUUCAUACUUUCAGCCCAUUGAUACGUAGGGCUGUUUCUGAGGGUAACAGAACUCUGCAAUCAGCAGUGUCUGUCCCCACUGCCGCCGCCUCCUGGUCCACCUCAGACCCUCCUGCUUCCUCUCAUCUUCCCCCUCACACCCUUACCUUCCUUCUCACCUCUUCUUCUGCAUCAGAGUAGCCUUUCAGGAACGGAUCCGAUAUAUAGUCGUCGUAAGGUAUGAAUGACUGAUAAAAGCUGAUGGUAUUACUCAUUAGAAGCAUAUUUUUAUUUUGACAGGGCUCAGAGCCUUUAGAGAAAGGAACACAUCCAUAAAUCUUUAAUGGAGAAAUUUUAAUUAGGUAACAGGAGAAAUGUUUGGGGUUGAGUGGAGUAUACUGUUUUCCUGAAAUAGCGUGCCAGACAUCUAUUCUAUUUAGAAAUUAAAAUACACACACACACACUCCCUACUUACCUGUUUAAUUCCAGGCAAUAUGUUAAAUGCUUUACAUAUACUCUCUCAUUUAAUUCUUAGCAAAAAAAAAAAAUCUUGCAAAGUAGAUAUUUAGUGUUUCACAUACACUCUGCUGCACAAGGUUAAGUAAAUUGCCAAACAUGCACAGCCCAUAAAUGUGGAAUUGGGAUGUGAAUCCAGCUUCUUUCUACAGAUCAGGAAGUCCCCCGAGGUAGCACUCUUUUCAUGUGGUGGGAAGCAGUUUUCCUGCCUGCCUCCUGGGUUGCUCAGUUAACGAACAUAUAGAGCCUUAAGGAUCUUUUCCAAUAAGUCAUAUUAAAAUGUGCCCUUACUCAUCUUUGUUUUUCUCUGAACUCCCCAGAGUUUGUGUAUGUCAUCCUUGUAAUGAUGUGCCCCGAAUGAAAAUAGUGGCCUGGUCUCUUUUCAUUUUCAGCCUAUGCAGGAUAUAAAAAAUAAACAGCAUAUGGUGAAAAGUUAAUGAGAUUAAAAAAAAAGA